rnacentral:misc_RNA from 1 species
UCCGGCUUACACCGGCUGUCACCUGCAUGUCAAGCCUAGGUAAGGUUCUUCGCGUUGCUUCGAAUUAAACCACAUGCUCCACCGCUUGUGCGGGCCCCCGUCAAUUCCUUUGAGUUUCAGCCUUGCGGCCGUACUCCCCAGGCGGGGUACUUCCUGCGUUAGCGCCGGCACCCAAGGGGUCGCUCCCCCAGGCACCUAGUACCCAUCGUUUACGGCGUGGACUAC